GACGAACGCUGGCGGCGUGCUUAACACAUGCCAGUCGAACGGAAAGGCCCUGCUUUUGUGGGGUGCUCGAGUGGCGAACGGGUGAGUAACACGUGAGUAACCUGCCCUUGACUUUGGGAUAACUUCAGGAAACUGGGGCUAAUACCGGAUAGGAGCUCCUGCUGCAUGGUGGGGGUUGGAAAGUUUCGGCGGUUGGGGAUGGACUCGCGGCUUAUCAGCUUGUUGGUGGGGUAGUGGCUUACCAAGGCUUUGACGGGUAGCCGGCCUGAGAGGGUGACCGGCCACAUUGGGACUGAGAUACGGCCCAGACUCCUACGGGAGGCAGCAGUGGGGAAUAUUGCACAAUGGGCGGAAGCCUGAUGCAGCAACGCCGCGUGCGGGAUGACGGCCUUCGGGAUGUAAACCGCUUUCGCCUGAGACGAAGCGUGAGUGACGGUAAUGGGUAAAGAAGCACCGGCUAACUACGUG
rnacentral:rRNA from 1 species